rnacentral:rRNA from 1 species
CCUACGGGAGGCUGCAGUGGGGAAUAUUGGACAAUGGGGGCAACCCUGAUCCAGCCAUGCCGCGGGUGUGAAGAAGGCCCUCGGGUUGUAAAGCACUUUCAGUGAGGAAGAACGCCUGGUGGUUAAUACCCAUCAGGAAAGACAUCACUCACAGAAGAAGCACCGGCUAACUCCGUGCCAGCAGCCGCGGUAAUACGGAGGGUGCGAGCGUUAAUCGGAAUUACUGGGCGUAAAGCGCGCGUAGGUGGCUUGAUAAGCCGGUUGUGAAAGCCCCGGGCUCAACCUGGGAACGGCAUCCGGAACUGUCAAGCUAGAGUGCAGGAGAGGAAGGUAGAAUUCCCGGUGUAGCGGUGAAAUGCGUAGAGAUCGGGAGGAAUACCAGUGGCGAAGGCGGCCUUCUGGACUGACACUGACACUGAGGUGCGAAAGCGUGGGUAGCAAACAGGCUUAGAUACCCCUGUAGUC